CCCAAUCUAGUGUUAUUGUCCAUAUGCUCGCUGCUCUGUGAUCCUAAUCCAGAUGAUCCUUUAGUACCAGAUAUUGCACAGAUCUAUAAAUCAGACAAAGAAAAAUACAACAGGCACGCAAGAGAAUGGACUCAGAAAUAUGCAAUGUAAUGUUUUCAAACACUUUCACUUAUACCAGAGUACUGUAAAAUCUAUGUCUUUUUCAACAUUAGCAGUAAAUCGAGCGCUGUGGGCUGUCUCCUUUGUUCCACUGAACCCUUUGGUUGCUACUCAUUUUAAAUGUGUUUCUGAAGCAAGACAGAACAAACCUCCAAAACUACCCUUGAAACUGUGCUGAGAGCAUUUGGCAUCUUGUGCUCGUUGAGGAGGACAUUUAUUUUGGUUUCUGAGACACUUGGACACCUGCAUCUUCGAAGCAAGAUCCGCGACAUGACUGAGAAACAACCAGAUGAUUUUUUUUUUUUUGCUGAAAGGAGAUGUUUUUACAUGAGAAACACUGUAUGUACUGUCCAAGAUGUCAUCACUUUUAUAAAUCUGAACUCAGAUUUCAUUCUUUGUUAGCUCACUUUAUAAUUUGUAUUUUUUUACUGUAUAGACUAAAUAUAUUCUAUGUCAACUCAUGACUUUUUUCCCUGUGAACAGUAUUGAAGCCCCCAACAACUGAUGAUGAAUUAACUGUGCCCCCUUGUCUUAGGAUAUUCUGUGGGUUGAAUGCAUAUUUCUUAAGCCGGAACUGAUCUUCACACUGUAUUUCCCAGUAUACCGAUUAGAAUGGAGAGACCCUUGUUUUGGUUUUAUUGUACUUGACUUAACUUUAUUGCAAUGUGAAUUAAUUGCACUGCUAAGUAGGAGGGUGUGUCACUUUCUUUUUUUUGGUUGCUCUUCACAUUUGAAUUUUUUUUUCUGUAUAGGCAAUAUUAUAUUGACACCUUUUACAGAUCUUACUGUAGCGUUUUCCAUAUAAAUAAAAUGCUUUUUCUACUA